UCACCAGAGAAAUAAAAAUAUAUACCAAGCGGAUACAUUCGACUCGAUAGUAGAAACGUAUACAGACGGUCUCUGUGACGGACUCUCGUGACGCAUCGCUGUGAAAAAAGUCACAAUUGCAUAAUAACUCGCGCCAAUGAUUCUAUGCAAUCAAGAUGGUGUAAAGAUAAUAAUGGCGCAAUCUUGAAACGAGAAGUCUCCCGAUCGCGAUGAUAAUUACAAUUACUUUUUCUUAUACGCUUUUGCACGGAUAUCAUUUCGAUCCUCGUUAAAAAUCUCAUAAGGAUAUUUUUAACGUUUUCAAAAGCAAUUUUUUAACGGAAAUUUAGAAACUGAGAAAUUAUUUUUAAUAACGGAAGAAAAUCGACUCGAAGGGCGGGAGCAAUUUUAUUGAAGCAGCAUUAUCGAAUCAUUCGCUUUGUUUCAUUUUUUCCUCGAGAAUUUGGCGUUACGAACGAUUCGUUAUUUUACAUUCUCGAAAAAAAUUUCUCACAUUUACCGUACCUGGGAUUAUACAUACAAUAAGCCAAGACGAGGAGUCACCGCCGGAUUUCCCCUAUGCAAAUGAAAAUAAAUGUUAACACGGUAUGUAAUAGUGCAACACAAACGGUGACUCAGCAGAUGCAUUAAAGUCCAAUGUGCAUUGGACGAGGCGGCAUGUUUGCCCGAGUCUUCGUCGAUAAUCGUAAAUAAUUGUUUCGAGAUAGAGUGUUAUUUGCGGCGCAAUUUUGACUUGGCGAAACUGCAAUUGCUCCUAUUACUAGCGCCGAAUUAUUCCAUCUUGAACAAUGGGCAAAAAUAAAACGAGCGAUCAAAUAAUCGAAUAAAUUAAAUUUGGAAAAAGAAAAAGAAGAAAUUAACAACCGAGUCCCGGUGUUAUUUAAGACCACUGAAAUUUUCUAGCGAAAGUUUCGCAAAGAAUAUUCCUCCAAGUUUCUCAACACUCGAAAAUAAGAAGAGCAAUAAUAAUAACAGGUCCAAUGACGAUCGAGCAAUGCGGUAUACACGCGAUCCGCGUGCAAAAGGCGUGUAAAAGUCGCGUGCAUGUAAAAAGCGUGACACACACUCGCGCAAACGCGUACAACGAACGAAAUAGACGUAUCCUCUUCGAUACGGGAGAUUUGAAUAUAAAAGGCUUUGCGCUUCCUCGCGGCGCAUGGUGGAUUAAAUACGGUGCUUGUUUACCAUUUCAAAAUGGAGAUUAAGCCGUUAACAGUGGUCAUUAAAUAGCUUACCAGAAACAAAGAGAGAAGGAUUAUACGUACGGACGAAGUCGAGAAGACCCGAAGCGGGGUGGCCGAAGGUCGAGCAAACAUCGAAAAGACGGAAGAAACCCUUAAGUACCCCAACCAAGGAGCCAAGGAAACGGAUCGAUAUACCACCGCAUUCGCUGCCAAUAUCAAUCCCCUGUCGUUGUUCCAAAAUUCGAUCGAAAAACCUCCUCGAUUCCAGAUUUCAAAUUCAACGAUAUAACGUAAUACGAUAAAGUCGACUUCGGUUUCCGUUUCGUCGAGCAAAAACUUAAGCCGCCAUCAAUUACCAUCCAUCGAUUCGAUACCGCGAAAAGGCGAUCGCUCGGAAACGCCAUGCAGCGAUGGAUAGAAACCUACUGCUACAAUAUCGAGAACCAAUACGAUCAAACGUCCAAACUUUCCUUUACCAAUAACCACGAACAAGUAACAAAAAUUUAAUCUCGAACAAUAAAAACUCGAAGGAAAGGAUGGCGGUCGAAUCUGUCGCUGGAACGGAGGCAGAGAGGGUUGUGAUCGAUGCAGGCGGAAGGGAAAAGCCGAUAGCCGGUUCCCGUGGGCGAAGCCGGGUCCAAAAGGGGUUACGAUGACGCCAGCACGAGCACAGAGGCACGGUAGAUUUCGCGCGUGAGUGUGUUCGAAGAGGAGAGCGAUCGGCAGUCUCGCUCGGCUCGUUGAACAUAAAUCUCGUCUCCCCGGUGGACGAUGACCCGUCGCGCUUAUUUAUCAUCGCUCUUUCCUCUGUUGUUACGGCUUAACUGUUUAUUCGGUGCUCGUUCACCGUCAUACAGUCACCUCGAUGACUGUGCGCCGCACAGCGCGCACACGUAUAACGGGAUCGCCGUGGUCGGCUUACGAUCGAUAGAUAGAUUUACACGCGCGAUAUUGGCUUGGAGACUUCGUGUUCAGAUUAGUCAUUACAGAGCAAAUCGAUAGACAGUCAUCCGAUCCCGUCCAUUGUCCGCAAUCUGCCCGAAUAACUAUUAGGGGGAGGGGCAAGUAUCAUCCCUCUAAGUAUGUUCGUUUCCAGGCAAAACUCUUCUCUCGAUAAUAUUUCUCGCGAAUGGGCACCGCGUUGGAGACUAUUCGAGAGUGAAAGUAUAUUCUUGUAAAAAUUCUACUAUCCGCUUGUAACAAUUAUUUUCGAUAGUCCUCGACAAUUUUGGUUUCAUAUAUAUAUAUAUAUAUAUUUAUAUACAAAAUUGUAUGCAAUGUUGGUUUAUCGAAUGGAAAAUUGGAUCGAUGGAAUGAAAAUAAGAGCGACGAAAGUUCGCUAGAUCAUCCCUGGUGUAUUCGUCAUCCACGCAUCUGCGCCAUAUCGGCCUGUUUACGUCCUAUGCGGAUUGAUAGGGUGCUCGGGGUGAUAGGGCGAAUCGUAAGUCGGCCAUGCGAUGCUGUUCGGUCCGUUGACAAUGGUUAUCGACACGGUGCAACCAGUAAAAUAUAUAUUCUGAUAAAUCCAUUAUAUUCUUUCAAAAUUCUAUCCACUUCUCCGAUCGAGAGAGAAUCCGAGCGGUCCGACGGCACGCGAACGACUGAAUGUUACCUAUUCAAUUUAAAGGUUAUUAUGUUCGUAUAAACAUUCUGUUUUCAAAUCGAUACGUUCGGAGAGAUGUUUUCCUUCGUAUUCGUCCUUAUUCCGCUACGAUUCCAAUAAAUUUUUAUUUUACGCAACAUCAUUAAUUGUAUAUUUAUUAGUUUAUUCGUUAUUAUGUAAUUUAAAUUCUACGCAAUUUCUUAAUAAUCUUAAUAUUACGAUAUCUUUCUCCCUUUUUUGGCAAGGAAAUUUAGGACGAAAUUUAGGUCAUAGGGCGAAUCAUUGUCGAGAAAAUCCGUGGCGAGCCCCCCGUCAGAGGAAAACUACGCCACUCGUCGUUCCCCGAAUUUCAUUCUGAAAAGAGCCCUUUGCCGCGGUUGUAUAACGCCACGGCACACAAUCCAUCCAUUGUCAUCCUUUCCCAAAUAACAAUAGCGAUUACUCGUGUAUUGCAAGUGGGCGUCGAUGACUCUUAUUGAAUUCUUGUAAAAUACUCGCGAGUGUGUGUGUGUGUGUAUCGAUUCAAGCGAAUUCAAGAAAGGCCGAACAAUUAAUCUUUGCAUUGCCGAGAAACGAUUUGUGCAAUGGUAAAAGACUAUGAUUUUAACCACUCUAUUUUGAUUCUCAUUCUAAUGAAUACGGACAUUGACGAUUUCUCGGAGUUUACGAUGAGCUAUCGAUCAACUUGUCGUGUGAAUAACAUUAAAAAGCAUGCCGUUGCAUCAUUUUUCUAUACUUGACAAAUAAUUCCUAUGCGUCUAAUCUCGAUGGUGUAUAAAUUCGAAUAAAUUUUCAAUUUUCUCAACACUUAUCCGAUAAUCAUUUAAGAUGUAAUUAAAUACUAAUGACCUCGGAGAAAUCUUCGUAAUGUUAAACAAAUUUUAUACAUGUAUAUAUGAAAGCUUGACUAUUAGUUAAUUACAACAUUUCUAUCAUUGCAA